UACGAAGGGGGCUAGCGUUGUUCGGAUUUACUGGGCGUAAAGCGCACGUAGGCGGAUCGAUCAGUCAGGGGUGAAAUCCCAGGGCUCAACCCUGGAACUGCCUUUGAUACUGUCGAUCUAGAGUAUGGAAGAGGUGAGUGGAAUUCCGAGUGUAGAGGUGAAAUUCGUAGAUAUUCGGAGGAACACCAGCGGCGAAGGCGGCUCACUGGUCCAUUACUGACGCUGAGGUGCGAAAGCGUGGGGAGCAAACAGG
rnacentral:rRNA from 1 species